rnacentral:rRNA from 1 species
CCCUUAGAUGUCCUGGGCCGCACGCGCGCUACACUGAGUGUCUGAGAUACGAGUCUGCCUGGUCCGGCAAGGUCUAGGUAAUCGCUAAAAGACACAUCAUGCUUGGGAUAGAUUAUUGCAAAUAUUAAUCUUGAACGAGGAAUUCCUAGUAAGCGCAAGUCAACAGCUUGCGUUGAUUACGUCCCUGCCCUUUGUACACACCGCCCGUCGCUACUACUGAUUGGAUGUUUAAGCGAGGUUCUCGAACUGCUAGCGACUUAGCUUCGGUGGGGUCGCAGUGUGGGAAGUGAACCUAGCUUUGGUGUCUAGAGGAAGUAAAAGUCGUAACA